UACGUAGGGUGCAAGCGUUGUCCGGAAUUAUUGGGCGUAAAGAGCUUGUAGGCGGUUUGUCGCGUCUGCUGUGAAAUUUCGGGGCUCAACCCCGAACUUGCAGUGGGUACGGGCAGACUAGAGUGUGGUAGGGGAGACUGGAAUUCCCGGUGUAGCGGUGAAAUGCGCAGAUAUCAGGAGGAACACCGAUGGCGAAGGCAGGUCUCUGGGCCAUAACUGACGCUGAGACGCGAAAGCGUGGGGAGCAAACAGG
rnacentral:rRNA from 1 species